GAUGAAGAACGUAGCGAAAUGCGAUAAGUAAUGCGAAUUGCAGAAUUUCCGUGAGUCAUCGAAUCUUUGAACGCACAUUGCGCCCACUGGUAUUCCGGUGGGCAUGCCUGUUCGAGCGUCAUUAUCCUCCCUCAAACCUCGGGUUUGGUGUUGGACCCAAGUUGUGUGAACAACUGGUCUCAAAGACAAUGACGGCGUCCGUGGGACCCUCGGUGCAACGAGCUUUUAGGAGCACGCGUCGAGUUUCAAGGACCUUCCGGGCCGGUCUCCUUUACUAUUUUUACAAGGUUGACCUCGGAUCAGGUAGGAAUACCCGCUGAACUUAAGCAUAUCAAUAAGCGGAGGAA
rnacentral:misc_RNA from 1 species